GUGUGGAUGACGGUACCGGAAGAGAAGCACCGGCUAACUACGUGCCAGCAGCCGCGGUAAUACGUAGGGUGCGAGCGUUAAUCGGAAUUACUGGGCGUAAAGCGUGCGCAGGCGGUUUUGUAAGACAGAUGUGAAAUCCCCCGGGCUUAACCUGGGAACUGCAUUUGUGACUGCAAGGCUAGAGUACGGCAGAGGGGGUAGAAUUCCACGUGUAGCAGUGAAUGCGUAGAUAUGUGGAGGAACACCGAUGGCGAAGGUCAGUCCCCUGGGAUAAGACUGACGCUCAUGCACGAAAGCGUGGGGAGCUAAACAGGAUUAGAUACCCUGGUAGUCCACGCCCUAAACGAUGUCUACUAGUUGUUGGGGUAGCAAUACCUCAGUGACGCAGCUAACGCGUGAAGUAGACCGCCUGGGGAGUACGGUCGCAAGAUUAAAACUCAAAGGAAUUGACGGGGGCCCGCACAAGCGGUGGAUUAUGUGGAUUAAUUCGAUGCAAC
rnacentral:rRNA from 1 species